rnacentral:rRNA from 1 species
GAUGAACGCUAGCGGCAGGCCUAACACAUGCAAGUCGAGGGGUAGAGGAAGCUUGCUUCCUUGAGACCGGCGCACGGGUGCGUAACGCGUAUGCAAUCUACCUUAUACAGGGGAAUAGCCCAGAGAAAUUUGGAUUAAUGCCCCAUAGUAUUAUUGAAUGGCAUCAUUUGAUAAUUAAAGUUCCAACGGUAUAAGAUGAGCAUGCGUCCCAUUAGUUAGUUGGUAAGGUAACGGCUUACCAAGACUAUGAUGGGUAGGGGUCCUGAGAGGGAGAUCCCCCACACUGGUACUGAGACACGGACCAGACUCCUACGGGAGGCAGCAGUGAGGAAUAUUGGACAAUGGGCGCAAGCCUGAUCCAGCCAUGCCGCGUGCAGGAAGACGGUCCUAUGGAUUGUAAACUGCUUUUAUACAGGAAGAAACACCUCUACGUGUAGAGGCUUGACGGUACUGUAAGAAUAAGGAUCGGCUAACUCCGUGCCAGCAGCC